GUCCACGCCCUAAACGGUGGGCACUAGGUGUAGGGCUCGUAAGGGUUCUGUGCCGAAGGGAAACCAUUAAGUGCCCCGCCUGGGGAGUACGGCCGCAAGGUUGAAACUCAAAGGAAUUGACGGGGGCCCGCACAAGCGGUGGAGCAUGUGGUUUAAUUCGACGCAACGCGAAGAACCUUACCUGGGCUUGACAUGUUAGUGGUAGGAAACCGAAAGGGGACCGACCCGUAGCAAUACGGGAGCUAACACAGGUGCUGCAUGGCUGUCGU
rnacentral:rRNA from 1 species